CCUACGGGAGGCAGCAGUGGGGAAUAUUGCACAAUGGGGGAAACCCUGAUGCAGCGACGCCGCGUGAGUGAAGAAGUAAUUCGUUAUGUAAAGCUCUAUCAGCAGGGAAGAAAAUGACGGUACCUGAGUAAGAAGCCCCGGCUAACUACGUGCCAGCAGCCGCGGUAAUAAGUAGGGGGCAAGCGUUAUCCGGAUUUACUGGGGGUAAAGGGAGCGUAGACGGCAGGGCAAGUCUGGAGUGAAAGGCGGGGGCUCAACCCCCGGACUGCUCUUGAAACUGUACGGCUGGAGUGCAGGAGAGGUAAGUGGAAUUCCUAGUGUAGCGGUGAAAUGCGUAGAUAUUAGGAGGAACACCAGUGGCGAAGGCAGCUUACUGGACUGUAACUGACGUUGAGGCUCGAAAGCGUGGGGAGCAAACAGGAUUAGAUACCCCAGUAGUC
rnacentral:rRNA from 1 species